rnacentral:rRNA from 1 species
GCAAGUCGAACGGAAAGGCCAGUGCUUGCACUGGUACUCGAGUGGCGAACGGGUGAGUAACACGUGGGUGAUCUGCCUUGCACUCUGGGAUAAGCUUGGGAAACUGGGUCUAAUACCGGAUAUGAACUGCCUUUAGUGUGGUGGUUGGAAAGUUUUUCGGUGCAAGAUGAGCUCGCGGCCUAUCAGCUUGUUGGUGGGGUAAUGGCCUACCAAGGCGUCGACGGGUAGCCGGCCUGAGAGGGUGUAC